GCCGCACUUGUAGGGUAGGGCCUGGGAAGCUGUUCCUUUUGGCAGACUCCUUCCCAGCGCCUCACUCUGUAUCCAG
rnacentral:miRNA from 14 species